rnacentral:rRNA from 1 species
UACGUAGGGUGCAAGCGUUAAUCGGAAUUACUGGGCGUAAAGCGUGCGCAGGCGGCGCGUUAAGACAGGUGUGAAAGCCCCGAGCUUAACUUGGGAAUUGCGCUUGUGACUGCAUCGCUGGAGUGCGGCAGAGGGGGAUGGAAUUCCGCGUGUAGCAGUGAAAUGCGUAGAUAUGCGGAGGAACACCGAUGGCGAAGGCAAUCCCCUGGGCCUGCACUGACGCUCAUGCACGAAAGCGUGGGGAGCAAACAGG